AUAACGAUGGUCAUUAUGGCCAAACAGUUCUAUUUUUGUUUCAUCAGACCAGAGGACAUUUCUCCAAAAAGUAUGAUACUUGUCCCCAUGUGCAGUUGCAAACCGUAGUCUGGCUUUUUUAUGGCGGUUUUGAAACCUGGCCUUUCAGGUUGUGUUGCUAUAGGACUCAUUUUACUGUGGAUACAGAUACUUUUGUACCUGUUUCCUCCAUCAUCUUCACAAGGUCCUUUGCUGUUCUGGGAUUGAUUUGCACUUUUUGCACAGAAGUACGUUCAUCUCUAGGAGACAGAACGCAUCUCCUUCCUGAGCGGUAUGAUGGCUGCCUGGUCCCAUGGUGUUUAUACUUGCAUACUAUUGUUUGUACAGAUGAACGUGGUACCUUCAGGCAUUUGGAAAUUGCUCCCAAGGAUGAACCAGACUUGUGGAGGUAUUGGCUGAUUUAUUUUCAUUUUCCCAUGAUGUCAAGCAAAGAGGCACUGAGUUUGAGGGUAGGCCUUGAAAUACAUCCACAGGUACACCUCCCAUUGACUCAAAUGAUUAGCCUAUUAGGCAAUUAGCCUAUCAGAAGCUUCUAAAGCAUGACAUACUUUUCUGGAAUUUUCCAAGCUGUUUAAAGGCACAGUCAACUUAGUGUAUGUGAACGUCUGAUAGGGAACACCCCCCUAUCCCCCUAGGGAGCACCCCCCUAUCCACAUCGAAGGGACAGCAGUGGAGAAGGUGGAAAGUUUUAAGUUCCUCGGCGUACACAUCACAGACAAACUGUAAUGGUCCACCCACACAGACAGUGUGAUGAAGAAGGCACAACAGCGCCUCUUCAAUAUCAGGAGGCUGAAGAAAUUUGGCUUGUCACCCAAAACCCUAACAAACUUUUACAGAUGCACAAUCGAGAGCAUCCUGUCGGGCUGUAUCACAGACUGGUACGGCAACUGCACCGCCCUCAACCAUAAGGCUCUCUAGAGCAGUGGUCACCAAACUACGGCCCGCGGGCCGGAUACGGCCCGUCAGCACAUUUGGCCCGGCCCUCUGAACAAUACCAGAGACGCUAUCGAAUUUUUUUCCUAUUUGGCCUCCAGAAAAAAAAUCCUAGGCCCGGCCCUGUCAAAGAGAGAACGGAAUAAUGGCGAAAAGGUUAGGUAAGAGUAAAAUUGAUUCAGAAUGCAGGGUAUUUAACCUGCAGUGGACAAACGAUUUUUUUUUUGUUCAAUGCAAAGAAAAGGCUGUUUGUCUCAUCUGUCAAGAGACGGUGGCGGUAUUCAAAGAAUACAAUCUUCGCCGACACUAUGAAUCCCGUCACAAAGACAAGUACGAUAGCUUGCAAGGCCAAAUACGAGCAGACAAACUCUCAAAGAUAAAAAGUGGACUACUAUCUCAGCAGAAUACAUUUGUACGCCAAGCUCAGCUGAACCAGGCAUCCGUUCGGGCCAGCUUUCGGGUUGCUAAACUGAUAGCAAGAAGCGGUAAGCCUUUCACUGACGGAGAGUUUGUUAAGAAAUGUAUGGAUGCUGUCGCGGAGGAGGUGUGUCCCGAGAAGAAAGAUGCAUUUAAUGCCGUAAGUCUGUCGGCGAGUACAAUCACCAGACGCGUUGAAGAAAUCGGGAGUAAUGUAUAUGCCCAGCUGCAGCAGAAGACGAAAGAAUUUGACUUUUUUCAUUAGCACUGGAUGAGAGCACGGACGUGCAAGACACAGCGCAACUGCUCAUUUUUAUUCCCAGCCUUCAUAUCAGUUUGAGUUGGCUGAGUUACAGAACUGUGAUGUUCUGAAAGACUCAUUCAAGCCCAACAGUCUCAUUGACUUCUAUGCCGCCCUCCCAAACGACACAUAUCCAAACAUCAAAAAACACGCAAUGAAAAUGUCCACAGUUUUUGGCAGCACGUAUAUCUGCGAGAAAACCUUUUCUCGCAUGAAACUGCUGAAAACCCCGAUGAGAUCAAGAUUGACAGAUGAACAUUUGCAUCAGUGCUUGAGACUGGCUGUAACUAGAAUGGAACCUGAUAUUCAACUUCUCACCAGCCAGAUGCAGGCCCACAGUUCACACUGAUGAACAUACAUAGGGAAGUUGAUGAGAGAGAGCUGCAAACAGCGGUGUCUACAAGCCUACUGGAACCUACAAAAGGAUUAUAAGGAAGGAACACAAGAACUUUAAGAGACUGCUCAUAUGUGUCAGAGAGAUUCUGCUCUGACAACUGAGCUGAACUUUUAUCUGUUAAGAUUGUGCAUGGCACGACAGAAAGUUAAUGUUCCAUGGCUUUUUUUCUAUGAAGAACCCAGAGAGAGUUAUUUAGUUAUUAUUUAUUUCCUGUUUUUUCUGUGAAGAACUCAGAGAGGGUUAUUUAGUUAUUAUUUAUUUCAUUAAUAGUGUUAUUAUUUGUUUCCUGACUUUUUUUCUGUAAAGAACCUGGAAAGGGUUAUUUGGUUAUGUGUGGCUUUCUGGAAAACAAUAAAUUUUUUAAGCUCC